GCGCACCAGUCGAGAAUCCUCCGCAAUGCGGGAAACCGUGACGGGGUCACCCCGAGUGCCACCCGAUGAGGGUGGCUUUUCCCCGGUCUAAAAAGCCGGGGGCAAUAAGCGGGGGGCGAAGUCUGGUGUCAGCCGCCGCGGUAAUACCAGCCCCGCGAGUGGUCGGGACGUUUAUUGGGCCUAAAGCGUCCGUAGCCGGCUCGGUAAGUCCCUCCUUAAAUCCACGGGCUCAACCCGUGGGCUGGGAGGGAUACUGCCGGGCUAGGGGGCGGGAGAGGCCGAGGGUACUCCCGGGGUAGGGGCGAAAUCCGUUAAUCCCGGGGAGGACCACCAGUGGCGAAGGCGCUCGGCUGGAACGCGCCCGACGGUGAGGACGAAAGCUGGGGGAGCAAA
rnacentral:rRNA from 1 species